UACGUAGGGUCCGAGCGUUGUCCGGAAUUAUUGGGCGUAAAGAGCUCGUAGGCGGUUUGUCGCGUCUGCUGUGAAAUCCCGAGGCUCAACCUCGGGCCUGCAGUGGGUACGGGCAGACUGGAGUGCGGUAGGGGAGAAUGGAAUUCCUGGUGUAGCGGUGGAAUGCGCAGAUAUCAGGAGGAACACCGAUGGCGAAGGCAGCUCGCUGGGACGUGACUGACGCUGAGACGCGAAAGCGUGGGGAGCAAACAGG
rnacentral:rRNA from 1 species